rnacentral:lncRNA from 1 species
GAUGGAGAAAGUGAGGCGCAGAGCUGAGGUGUGGACCGAACUGGUUUGGGAUUUACUCUUUGCUUGAGGAGAAAUGCUGUAUUUUCUAACUCCAGUUCUUGACCUUGGACUUGAGGGGUGGAGGAUUCUAGGAACUGCACAAAAUGACAGGAGGGAUGCCAUUCAGUUGGCCAAUUCGGGGAUGUGUCCUGGCUUGUGAAGUUUUAUAAAUCUCUCUUAAACCCAAACCUCUUGGUUCUCUGACACUGAUUGUCUAAAUAUGAUUCUCAAUACUUUUUAAAACAAACAAAAAUUCUCCCUGCAAGAUCACACAUUUAAGUUUUUGUUGCUUGUGGAUAGAUACAGAGAAACCAAGUACGCAUGUGAAAUAACAAUUCGGGGAUGGAGCUGUGAGUCUCUGGAUGGCUAUGUAAUCUGUAACAAAAGUUUCUCGCUGGACCUGUACUUGUGCACCAGAGGUGAACAUCCAGGCAAGGUCAACCUGAAGAGGGUGUGAAGCCCAAAAGCUGCUCGAUGGGUUUAAACCGCCACUCAUCUGCCUCCAGCUCUUCUACCAAACUAGCUAGUUUUUCCAUCCGAGCAACUUGCUGAUCUGUAAAGAGUCAAGGAGAUAAUAUAUAAUACAAUGUAUUUCCCAUGAGACAGUCACCAACCACCGACAUGAUGAUGAUUUAAAAAUAAUUUCUAGAAAGAUCUCUCCCUUCCAUAUUCUAGUAGUCCUUAUCCUGUGUUGGUCAGAAGACUUAAUCUUUUUUUAAAAAAAUUAUACUUAUCCUCCAUGCCAUUUGUGUACUAAAUUUGUGAUUUGUACAAUAAAAACCCAGGGUUACCAGCAAUUGCACCCCCCCGCCCCUGGACCCACCGUGCUAUCAAUGGAGAAACAGUCCAGUCUGGUGGGGCAACAGAGUUCCCUGAUGCACAAAUGAAGACCUGGUGAGACACGAUAGAAUGGAGAAGGUGCUACCAGGACCUUAGAGUCCAGGUGGACCAAAAGGUAUUACAUAAAUAUCUGAAGAUGAAGAUGAUGAUGGUAACCAAAGGAGGACGACACUAAAAGAAGGUUUCAGAAAGGAGAAGAAAAAGCAAUACAAGAGUAGGAAGCAUUAACUCCCCUGGAAAACUAACCCCUUGGACUUCAACAUUAAGCCUCAAUGUGGACAUUAUGUCUAGAUUAAGACUGUAGAAUGGUCUUGUCUGCAGGUAAUUGGAAAGUCCACUUAAAAAGCCUUAAUGAAUUUUUGUUACAGAGCACUCUGACCCAAGUCCCCCAGUAAAUUUAUUCUCGUAAAGUAUAUAACACUCACGUGCUUACCAUGUUUCACCUGUUUAAGCGUCGAUGCCACCUGAUAACUGAAAACGGAUUCACAGAGGAAUCUCUCAGAGCCAUCUACAAACAGAAGAGGAAAAGUUUUAAUCUGCUCUAAGGGUUUUAUGGCUUCUGAUAAACCAAGUAAACAUGUCCAUUCUUUUCCCUACUUUUACAUUCAGAGUCUAGUUUUCAGUGUUUACAAAGAGGGCUUCUAUUUCAUUUAAAACUAACACUGCUCUGUUAUAAAAGCUACUUCUUCUAUACCUAGAAUAUUAAAAUAGUGCCUCUACUUGUUCAAGAGUUUAAAAAUAAUGUUUAAAAAAACAAAAACAAGAAAUCCCAGUCUGACGUCCUGGUCAACAGUUCCCCCAUCCUAACCUGACAACUUCUUAAUGUUCUAUUGUGUAGGUCAAGCAAAUACUGACAGCUGACACAUGUGGCCAUGUGGCCCCUGUGCUUUCCAAAAACAAAGGUAUAACAAAACUCUAAACCAUUUUCAUUCUAAAAAGUAAAGCUGAGGAAAAAAUAGUUGUUGUUGAUAUUACAUAGAUAUCAAAUUACAUCACUAUGACCAUCACAAAACACUGCUGGGAAAUUUCAUCCUGUAAACGCAAAUUGUAACCUUGAUUUUCCAACUGAACCAAAACACUGCAAUUUGCAUGGCGAUAAGAGUAUGGUGCAAUUUCAGAACCUAGCACUGUACUGGUGCCAGAACUGGCAACAAGAAGGUAGCUAACUCAGUCACCACAGUAGCUGGAAGAAGAUUGUGAAACAUAAGCUAGUUCAUGUUAUUCCUUGUCAGGCAAGGGCUGAUACAGCAAAACCUAGCCCAGAAGAUACAGAACUCAUGUAGGAGAAUGUGACUUUUAAAAGGAUAGCAGAAACCAUUUGGGGAAGGGAUCUUAUUGCAAAAAUCCUGAAACAAACAGAAGGGGAAGACACAGCUGUCUUUUUUUAGGCGGAAGGUCAUGCCAGCACUACUAGGUGUCAAGCACUCACACAUCAAUCAUGGGUUGGGUUGGUGUGUCAGCCAGGUAUUAAGUGACAAGGGGAUAGGACUAACACAUCCUGGCUUCAUGCUGAGUUUCACACAAGGCAGAUCUUAUUUCAGAAGCUCAUGAUAAAAAGAAAAACUAUAAAUGUUGUAUUCAAAUAGCUUGAAUAUACCACCAAGAGGGCUUCUAAUAUUAUCUUCAAAAUUGAUGCAAAAAAUAAUAUAAUUCUUUGUGUAUAUAAUAUAUAUUAUAUUGUGUCAUAACGUGAUAUUAUGCUAUCAUUUCAAAAUACAGUUUUUUUCAUAGAGUGAUGUACACUUUGGGGAGAAUGUUAUUCUUCAAAUUCAACCUCUUUUCUACCUAUUGUGCUCUCUGGGAUAGGAUCCUAUCCCCUCCUCCCAACCCUGUUCCUCUGGCUGAAUGUAAGUCAUUUGUGGGAAGAUUAAACUGAGCAAAUUUUUUUUAAA